rnacentral:lncRNA from 1 species
CCCAGGCUGGUCUCGAACUCCUGGGCUCAAGUGAUCCUCCUACCUCAGCCUCCCAAAGUGUUGGGAUUACAGGCGUGAGGCACUGCACCCAGGCCUACAGCUUUUCUUUAGAAACAUAAGCUUUUCUCCCUAUGUUGAUCAGAUGGGAAUCUCAGAUUUAAUGGCCUCUUGAGGCUAAGAAGCCAAACCAAGGCAGGCUUUAGAUUUGACCGAUAGCCCUGAGGUUCCUGGGCCUGCCAGAUGGUGACAGUUUUUAUUUACUCUCGCUGUAAGGCUGGGAACUUUCUUUUUAUUUGGAGGGGGGAUGGAGUUUUGAUCUUGUUGCCCAGGCUGGAGCGCAAUGGCGCGAUGUUGGCUCACUUCAACCUCUGCCUCCCGGGUUCAAGCGGUUCUCCUGUCUCAGCCUCCCAGGUAGCUGGGAUUACAGGCGGCUGUCACCACGCCCAGCUAAUUUUAGUAUUUUUAGUAGAGAUGGGGUUUCACCAUGUUGGCCAGGCUGGUCUCAAACUCCUGACACCAGGUGAUCUUCCCACCUCAGCCUCCCAAAGUGCUGGGAUGAUAGGCGUGAGCCAGCGCGGCCGGCCAGGCUUGGAACGCUUGAGGCACAUUCUCAGAGACACGAUUUCGGUCACAGCCUUGGUAAUAUGACUGGUGUUUUCAGUUGUAGCCUCCUCUGUCUGUCUUGGUGGCCUCACGCCGUGGGCUGUGAUGCCGGCUACGCUGCUUGGGUGGCCAAGGGUCUGAGCUGCAAGACGCCCAGCCUGGGUCUCUCCCGAGCUCUCCCACGUCCUGUCUGCUC